rnacentral:rRNA from 1 species
AUUGAACGCUGGCGGCAUGCCUUACACAUGCAAGUCGAACGGCAGCGCGGACUUCGGUCUGGCGGCGAGUGGCGAACGGGUGAGUAAUGUAUCGGAACGUACCAUUCAGUGGGGGAUAACGCAGCGAAAGUUGCGCUAAUACCGCAUAUUCUGUGCGCAGGAAAGCAGGGGAUCGCAAGACCUCGCGCUGAUUGAGCGGCCGAUAUCAGAUUAGCUAGUUGGUGAGGUAAAGGCUCACCAAGGCGACGAUCUGUAGCGGGUCUGAGAGGACGAUCCGCCACACUGGAACUGAGACACGGUCCAGACUCCUACGGGAGGCGGCAGUGGGGAAUUUUGGACAAUGGGCGCAAGCCUGAUCCAGCCAUGCCGCGUGAGUGAAGAAGGCCUUCGUGUUGUAAAGCUCUUUCGGCCGGGAAGAAAUCGUAUGGGUUAAUACCCUGUGCGGAUGACGGUACCGGCAUAAGAAGCACCGGCUAACUACGUGCCAGCAGCCGCGGUAAGAC